rnacentral:rRNA from 1 species
UACAGAGGGUGCGAGCGUUAAUCGGAUUUACUGGGCGUAAAGCGUGCGUAGGCGGCUUUUUAAGUCGGAUGUGAAAUCCCCGAGCUUAACUUGGGAAUUGCAUUCGAUACUGGGAAGCUAGAGUAUGGGAGAGGAUGGUAGAAUUCCAGGUGUAGCGGUGAAAUGCGUAGAGAUCUGGAGGAAUACCGAUGGCGAAGGCAGCCAUCUGGCCUAAUACUGACGCUGAGGUACGAAAGCAUGGGGAGCAAACAGGAUUAGAAACCCCAGUAGUCC